AUCCGAAAGCCAAGUUCAAGGGCAUGAGCAAGAGAGGCGAGAGAUAGGGGAAGAAGCCUGAGAAAGAAGGAAUAACAGCUUUCCGGAGGAGGCGUGCAGUGAACCACAUCCCAGCCAAUGAAGAUGAGAGGCAGCGUGAACAAAGUCAUUUAGAAAGCCCCCCCGAGGAAGUGUAAACAAAAGAGAAAGCAUGAAUGGUGUGCCUGAGAGACAAGUGUGUGUUGCGCUGCGCCCCACCUUGAGCUGGGCCAGCAGCCGCCUAGCCCUGCCUCUCCCCACCUACUCACUGG
rnacentral:lncRNA from 1 species